rnacentral:rRNA from 1 species
ACCUCUGCAAUAGGCGAAAGCUUGACAGGGUUACUCUGAGUGAUGCCCGUUAAGGGCAUCUUUUGGCACUUCUAAAAAUAGUGUAGAAUAAGGGGUGGGCAAGCCUGGUGUCAGCCGCCGCGGUAAUACCAGCACCCCGAGUGGUCGGGACGAUUAUUGGGCCUAAAGCAUCCGUAGCCGGUUCUGCAAGUCUUCCGUUAAAUCCACCUGCUCAACAGAUGGGCUGCGGGGGAUACUACGGGGCUAGGAGGCGGGAGAGGCAAGCGGUACUCGGUGGGUAGGGGUAAAAUCCUCUGAUCCACCGAGGACCACCAGUGGCGAAGGCGGCUUGCCAGAACGCGCUCGACGGUGAGGGAUGAAAGCUGGGGGAGCAAACCGGAUUAGAUACCCGGGUAGUCCCAGCUGUAAACGAUGCAGACUCGGUGAUGGGUUGGCUUUGAGUCAACCCAGUGCCGCAGGGAAGCCGUUAAGUCUGCCGCCUGGGGAGUACGGUCGCAAGACUGAAACUUAA